UUUUCAGAAGGAGAAUAUGGAGUGCUGGUGUUGGUUGGCUGAGGGGCAGCCCCACGUCUCUGGGCUGUAGGGUGGUGCCACUGGCUUUUCCAUCCUCCCCAUGGAGACCAGGGCAUCCAGCUGGGACAGAAACCAAAACUGACCCCGUGUGCCUUUUUGCUGAAGGUGAAAAUGAAGAUGUGGGUUUUGCACUGAGAAAGAAGAACUGAGAGCAGUGGCAAGUGCUGGCAGAGAGGAGCAGUGGCUGCUCCAGCAGGAUGAGCUGCUCUGGUAGGGCUGCCCGUGCUGCAGCAGUCCCAGGGCUGAGGGACGCUAAAAUCAGUGCUCUGCUUCUGCUAGGGACCAGGGACACCCCAGCGUGGCACAGGGACUUUACCAUACUGCAGCUCACCCUGGAGUAGUUUCAACUUCUCGUUUUUGGGUACCUGCUGAGCAUGGCAGGGCUGCCCAAUUUUGCAUUACUCCUCUGCAAGUGGAAAAUUGUGCCUGAGGGUGUCAGGGGAAAGUGAUCAGAGGCUCAGGACUCCCCAUCCUUGUCCCGUCUCUCAGAUCCGGUGUGAGGACAGGGUCCCACCCAUCCAAAGCCAUCACCGAGGGCUCCAGGUGACCCACCCAGGGCUGUUUGGCGACGGGGGUGUGAUCCAAGGAUAUUCCCGAGGAUCCGGAGGGGCGGACAGGACCUGUCACCAGCUCUCCCCGCUGGCACCGAGCCCCGUCCGCGGCCUCCUGGGUGGGAGCCCGGGGAGCGGCCGCAGCUCCCGAGCGCCUUUCCCAGCACGGUGACCAAACCCCGCCGUUCCCGUCCUUCUGAUCCGUCUUUGGCCGCCAAUUAGCACGACGUGAGAACUUGUCUCCCUGCUGACGCGCCCGUGUGACUCCUCAGAUGCUUUAAUUGCGGUGUUUUCGGCGGCCGGGUGCAAUGAAAUGGUAAUUGUUGUGAUUGUGUGCCGGGCGGGAACUGAGAGAUGCAGCUCUUUGGCGAAGCCUAAUUAGGAAAUAGGGACACUGUUGGGAAUGGCUCUGCGAUGUGAUUUUCCUAAUGAAAGCCGCUGAAUAGGCAGCCUUGUAAUGAAGAACAGCCUAGCAAGGGCACUUCCAAUUGCUCUUCUCUAGUGUUAAUUUUGUAUUUCCUCCCCAUUGUUUCUAAUACCCUCUUGGAAAAGCUUGAAGAUAAAAUGCUUUAUUUCCUUGCGCCUCGUAUCCUGUUUGGCAAGCGGCGAUUGGAGCAUGUGCAUCUGGAAUACAUGAGAGGCCAGGCAGGAGCUCCUUCAGACUUGUUCAUCUCUGAUUUCAAGCUCUGCGACUGGAAAAAAAACCAAAAAAACCAAAAAAAGAGAAGAAAAUAAAGCAACUUCAGCUUGUGGCUGCCGGGCUCCC
rnacentral:lncRNA from 1 species